GUCACCGGGAGGAAGUGGUCAAUCUGCUUUACGGUGGAAGGACAGUUGUGCGGCGUCGGUUUAAGCGGAUUUUCUAACGUGGAAAGUGGUCGCGCGGCGCCGCGGGAGGUGCGGAGGCGGUGGAUGAGUUUGUCCGACUUUCUCCGCGGGUUUCUCGGGCUCGGCUCCGGGGGAAGGAGGGAUCCGUUCUUCCGGACCGAGACUCGCGAGGAGGAGGAUGAUGAUGAGGAGGGGGGCGAUGAUGAUGAAGGCGGCUGCUUUGGGUCGGGGUUCGGUUUCGCGCCUGACGGGGUCUCGGGUUUUUUCCGGGAGAUGGACGACCUGUUCAGGGGGAUCGGGAGCUGGGACGUGCCCACAGGAGCCCUCGAGCUGCCGGGUGUGGAGGGUUACCCAGCGAGGGGGACUGAGGAGAGGAAGAGGAAGGGGCCACGUGACUGGAUGCUGAAGGAGCCGGACUCUGAGCCGUCAACCUCUGGGGGAGGGGCGCUGGGAGCGACCAAGAUAGACCCCAGGGACCAGCCCAGAGCAGAAGCAGCUCCAGCUCCUCCCUACACAUCACCCAGGGAUCCGUUCAGAAGGUUUGCUGAUAUGUGGAAGUUGUUCCCUUCCGGACGGGAAGACAGUGUGAAGGAAGAUCAGGAUUUGGACUCUGAGGUGACGUCAGAAGGAUUGGGGACGAUCCUGAGACCAACCGAGCCCCACACACGAUCUUUCUUCCGCAGCGUCUCAGUGUCAACAGUGACCCUCCCAGACGGGACAGUGGAAGAGCGCCGCACAGUGAGAGACAGUCAGGGGAACGAGAAAACUGAGGUAACAAGACGGAGAGGGGGUAUGUCUCACAGCGAGGAGUCACAGAGCCAAGCCAACGAAGGCGAUGUCCAGCCAUUCUCCCCGGAGUGGGAGCGAGAGACAGACAGCGAGAGGUUACAUGAUGUCUUCACUCUCUGGGACAGACUGUUCAAGGGGCUGUUUUCCAGUCGGUGAUUGGGGAGGGGGGGAGAUGGGGGGCAGGGAGUGGGGGGAGGUGUGGGUGGGGGAAGAUUACAGACCGUCAUCACAGCUACUAAUCACUCAACGCGUCAGUGUGUGAGAUUGCUCUCCCAGCCUUGUCUGCUCUCUCUCUCCCGCCUCUCUCUCUGUUUCUCCCUCUGACUGACUCUC